rnacentral:rRNA from 1 species
CCUACGGGGGGCAGCAGUGGGGAAUAUUGCACAAUGGGGGAAACCCUGAUGCAGCGACGCCGCGUGAGCGAUGAAGUAUUUCGGUAUGUAAAGCCCUAUCGGCAGGGAAGAAGCAAGACGGUACCUGACUAAGAAGCCCCGGCUAACUACGUGCCAGCAGCCGCGGUAAUACGGAGGGGGCGAGCGUUAUCCGGAUUCACUGGGGGUAAAGGGAGCGUAGACGGCCAUGCAAGCCAGGGGUGAAAGCCCGGGGCCCAACCCCGGGACUGCCCUUGGAACUGCAUGGCUGGAGUGCGGGAGGGGCAGGCGGAAUUCCUGGUGUAGCGGUGAAAUGCGUAGAUAUCAGGAGGAACACCGGCGGCGAAGGCGGCCUGCUGGACCGCGACUGACGUUGAGGCUCGAAAGCGUGGGGAGCGAACAGGAUUAGAUACCCUUGUAGUC